GCACUCAUAGUGUAGUGGUUAUCACAUCCGCCUGACGUGCGGAAGGUCCCAGGUUCGAUCCCUGUUGGGUACA